CACACACACACACACACACACAAACAAAACUGAUUAUUCUGCCCUCUUUGGGGAUGGGGAAGAAUGCUGCUCUGUUGCCUACUCACAGGACUCAUGGAACUGUAGAGAAAUGGAAGACAAAUAUAGCUGAUCUUUUUUUUCCCCUUUGGUGAUAUUUUAUGACUAGGGUGCCACCUAUUAGGGCUUUCUCUUAUAUAACUUUUCAGAAAUCCUAGGGAGGUAUAUUUUUUAAUUAUUAUGUUCUCUACCAUUGAAAUAUGCCAUAGAAUUCAUGCUGGCCUUAGUUAAUUUGUGAAUAAUUUUGAUUUUCACUAUCUUAAUAGUGUGGCACAUUAAUUCAAGAGGAUUUCUCUGGAACAGGUCUAGCAGCAAAUGGCUCCCUCACUGCAGGGGUCUCUGAAACCUUAGGUAUAAUUUCUCUUAUUUCAAAUUGUGGUCUUUGGGCACUCUUGGUCAUUGGUAACAGAACUACAAGAGAAUCGCAUAGGUAAAUGGGAAACCCCCUUUCAAAAGACAGUUAUCCAUUUAAAUUUAAGUUUAUAAUUUUUUGGGGAAUUUUAAAAAAUCUUGAUGUCUUACUGGACUUCAAUUAACAAACAUUUAUUAAGUGUUUACUAUGUGCCAAAAAUUGCUUUAAGUAUUGGCAAUACUUGGACAGAUGGAAAAGUCUGCCCUCGAGAAGUUUAUAUUCUAAUGGAGAAGGCAACAUAUAUAGUUAUAUAUAGUUAAAUUCAAGUUGGCAUUGGAGAAGGUACUAGUAGCUGGCCCUGGUCCUGGGUGGACCAGGAAAGAUCCCCUUCUUUCAACAGUGGGUGGUAUUUGAUGCGAGCUGAAGGAAAUUAGAUAUCCCAGGAGGCAGAGAUGUAGACAUGACAUUCUUGAACCUGGAGAUUGCUGGGAUAAAGGCCCAGAGAUGGAAGGUGAUGUGUUAAGUGUAAAGAACAACAGGAUAGCAUACCUGCAUCAUGGAGGGAGGGGAGCAAUAUGCAAAUAAAUUGAAAAGGUAGGAAGGGACUUUGCUUUAAAGCAAAUUUACUUUAAAGAAAUUGGAUCCUAUAGGUAAAAGGAAUUCUUUAGACUUAGUUUGGGUUGUGACAUGGUUAGACAUGCUUUAGGAAAGGCAGUUUGGAAGCUCUAUUCCUUGGAAUAGAGAAAUAGGGUAGGGAGGUCAAAUAAUUAUGGUAGCACAGAAUAAAUGUGACGAGUGGAAUUAGGGUGCUGGCUACAUUGAGUAAAGAGAAGGGAACGUGUCUGAGAGUUUUUGGCAAACGUUUGGAUACGUGGAUUGAAAGCAUAAGGUUGCUCCAAAGGUUAUGAAUCUGAAUGGUCAGGAAGAUGAUGGUAUUCUUAAUUUGGCCAGAGGACAGGUUUUGGGGUAAAGAUCACAAAUUUUUGUUUUAGAUAUGUGAACUCUUACCUCAUGAACAUGAUGGGGCUGAUCGAGCAGUGGAGACUGAAGCCAGAAGGAGAACCAAGAGAAGUGUGUUUAGUGGGAUAUUGAGGAGGUGUCUAAAAGGACGAUGACCUUGGAGAUAGCAUUGAAUGAAUCACCUGGAAUAAUGAUGUUGGAAGUGCGUUUACAGGUGGUUAAGAUGAGAGGAGAAGCUCUGAGGACAGAAUUUUUGACAACAGUUUGAUAUGGCAAUCAAAAAUGUUAAGGUGCUUACACCAAAGCAAGCACAAUGUCUAGCACUAGGGAAGAGAUAAUACCCAACCCCUUCCCACCCUCCUGGAAUAUUGGAGUUUUGAGCACCGUGUUUUAGGAACAACACUGAUAAAGGAGUGUUGAGAGGAGGGCAGUUGGUAUGGCAUUGUCAAGUUCAAGCCACGUGAGAAUUGUUCAAAGCAACUGGGGAUGUGUAGAGAAGAGUCAGAGUGGGGCAAGAUAAUUGUGUUAAGUCUUUUAGAUAGUAGAGGCAUCUGACCCUACAGGGCAAAAAUAGGAACAAGGUAGAAGUCAGAGAAGAAAAUGUAGUUUUGAUAUAAGGAAAACUGUCCAACAAUCUACUUUUUGAAUGGGAAUUGCUGCUUCGAAUGGUAUUUGGAUUCCUCCUUUUUUCCAGGUCUUCUAUUGCAGGUCAUAGGAUCCCUUGCUGGAUGUGUUGUAAAAGAUUGUUCAUGUUUAGGUUGGACAAAGUGGCUUCUGGGGGGACCCUUUAACUCUUGAACUGAGAUUUUGCUUCUAUAAUCACUGCAAAAGCCAUUUCUUCACAAAAUCAAUUCUUUUGUGAAAUACUCAUGUUUAGACUACUACUAGUCUGAGUGAUUAUUUUUCCUAAAUAGAUCUGUAGCUUCUCAUUAUCUAAUUACCAAAUAAAUCGUUUUUGACUUCUUGA